rnacentral:rRNA from 1 species
GACGAACGCUGGCGGCGUGCUUAACACAUGCAAGUCGAACGGAAAGGCCCUGCUUUUGUGGGGUGCUCGAGUGGCGAACGGGUGAGUAACACGUGAGUAACCUGCCCUUGACUUUGGGAUAACUUCAGGAAACUGGGGCUAAUACCGGAUAGGAGCUCCUGCUGCAUGGUGGGGGUUGGAAAGUUUCGGCGGUUGGGGAUGGACUCGCGGCUUAUCAGCUUGUUGGUGGGGUAGUGGCUUACCAAGGCUUUGACGGGUAGCCGGCCUGAGAGGGUGACCGGCCACAUUGGGACUGAGAUACGGCCCAGACUCCUACGGGAGGCAGCAGUGGGGAAUAUUGCACAAUGGGCGGAAGCCUGAUGCAGCAACGCCGCAUGCGGGAUGACGGCCUUCGGGUUGUAAACCGCUUUCGCCUGUGACGAAGCGUGAGUGACGGUAAUGGAUAAAGAAGCACCGGCUAACUACGUG